UGUUGUAGAACCUUGUCAAUCAUUUAGCCUGUUCCUAAUUGAUCAGAUUUUUCUACCACUGCAAAAAAGUUUUUUACAAGGAGUAAUGACCUCGGUUUUCAAUGGAUGCCUUUGCAAGUCUUGCUGAAAAGGGGAGAAUGGGUAGGCAGAGUUGGGAUGUAGCUCAUGAGCGAGGGAGAGAGAGUGAACAUCCUCCAAAAAGGAAAGAUUCCAAGCCUGUGCCGAUUCAUUGCAUCUUGAUGUCAAAUACCUCAGGUCUGAGGAAUCGGCAUCACAAGAAACUGAAGGAAAGAGUCCUAAGACUUAGGUAAGAGAGACUCCUCAACUAUGACAACUGCGAACAUUUGUGAAAUCAUCUUAAUUUAUUGGCAUUAGCCUAUAGCCUAUUAAUAGUGUAUAUUGUAUAUUUUCGGGUGGGAGACAAAGUUAAUUUGAUAAUUAGACAGCCUUCGUAGAAUCUCCCACCACAAUGAUCGCUUUUGAAAUCUCAAAAAUUAUCUUAAAAACAGCUUGUUUUCCUCGAACUGUCAGUCAGGCUGCCAACACGGCAAGUUGGAAUGUAUUCUACGUUUUAAAUAUGAAUGGUUGGCAAGAUUCGCAAAGGAGUUUACCUGAAUAAUUAAAACUUCAUAGGAGUUCAGCUGUACAUCAGGAUGUUUCAUUAGAAUUUCUACUUGAAAUCUUUCGUUUUGGUAUCAUCCCAUCCGUCUCUCAUCAUUGCCUGCAAAUUUUGUAUCCUGAACUGGGAGUACACACCAAACAUAAAUCGUAUUUUCAGCCCCAGACGAAAGAUUAAUCUCAAGAUUUACCACUUUACUUGGGAUUGGGAUGCAUAGUUGAUAGCUGAAUUCAACUAUUCAGGCAAGGAACAUUUGUGAUAUAUAACAGCGGCGUCCGUAAUAUCCAUCCAUUAGCUGAUGGUCCAGGCACAAUCUGCCUCGCCAGCAGGGGGUGCCGAUGGGGAGGGCACAGAAGAGCAGUAUGUCUACAGACUGGGGAUCUAUGGAUGGAGGAAGCGCAGCCUCUACCUGCUGGUGAUACUACUGCUUUCCAUAUUGGUCAUCAACUUAGCUCUGACUGUCUGGAUCCUCAGGGUCACCUGCCUCAAUACUGAGGGAAUGGGACAACUGAGGAUAAGGGCAGGCAGGGUGAGGCUUGAUGGAGUGUCUGAGUUUCUCUUCCCCCUCUUUGCUCAAGAGAUUGGCUCAAAACAGGAGACAUCUCUUCUCGUCCACUCGGAGACUCACAAUGUCUCAAUAAAGUCCAUUAACCGAAGAGGAGGCGUGUCAAGCAGCCUAACUCUGGGUCCACAGUCCAUAGAAAUCACAGGCAGACGCUUUGAGGUGAUGUCUAACACUGGGACACGUCUGUUUUCUGCCGGUCCAGAACAUUCCGUAGUUGGAGUAGGGAAGCUAACAGUUACAGGUGAAGAUGGUGCUGAGUGUGGUCACUCCAUUGAGACACCACUAGUCAGGGCUGAAGGUUUCAAACACCUCAGUCUAGAAGCCCCCACCCGGUCCCUCUACAUGGAUGCACCUAAGGGUGUCCACAUCAAUGCUGAGUCCGGUAGCACCAAGGCCCUGUCCAACACAGACAUCUCCCUACUGUCCACGGACGGAGUGUUGGUUCUGGAUGCUGAGUGGGUACGACUGCCAAGGCUGCCCGUGAGUGGACAGGCAGAAGGAACAGGACAAGAGGAGGAGCAGCCGCUCUAUGAAGUGUGUGUUUGUCCGGAUGGGAGGCUGUAUACCUCUAAGGCUGGACUCACUUCCACCUGCCAUGAGUACAGUGGGAAGUGUUAAAGCAACACUGUGGACAACAUGCCUGUAUCACUGUGGCAUGAAGAUGACAUUCAUGAGCAAACUCAUUAGACACAUGGACUUGAAACCUUGGAACCAUCGAGCCCGUUUACUGGAACUGACAAUAUUGUGGUACUGCUUUAUGGAUCUUGAUGCAAUAGAGGAGGCCAGACAAUGUAAGGAGCACGAGUACAGAACAGCUAGGAACUGUCUACCCUGCAUACAGUGUGACCCAGGACAGGAGUUAUCCACGGAAUGUGGCUUUGGCUUCGGAGAGGGUGCCCGCUGUGUGCCCUGCAGACCUGGGCGCUUUAAGGACAACUCUGGCGUCCAGAAAUGCAAACCCUGCCUGGCAUGUGGCCGUGCGAGUCGCCUCCAGACCUCCAACUGCAGCGCCACCAUCAAUGCUGUGUGUGGCGACUGUCUGUCUGGGUGAGAGGCAACCAGCGACAAUGAAAUCAACUCAGUCCUCGCAGUAGAGGGUUGAUAUGUGCCAGUGUUAUAUCCUAGAUGUUUUUGUACUCGCACGUCACAGAAACUGCGCUGGUAUUUUCCUCAUGUUCUCCAGGUUCUAUAGGAGAACCAGGCUGAGUGGGUUUGAGGACAUGGAGUGUAUACCUUGUGGAGACCCCCCCCCUGCUAAUGAGCCUCAAUGCACCAGCAGAAUGAACCUGGUCCCCCUGUCGUCUGUGGUGUCCAGUCCCCAUGACAACGCUCUGGCUGCGGUCAUCUGCAGCGCCCUGGCCUCGGUCCUACUGGCACUGCUGCUGCUCUGUGCCAUCUACUGCAAGAGACACCUGGAGAGGAAACCUCACGAGCCCUGCCAGGAAGGACA